GAUGAUGAACGCAGCGAAAUGCGAUAAGUAAUGUGAAUUGCAGAAUUCAGUGAAUCAUCGAAUCUUUGAACGCACAUUGCGCCCCCUGGUAUUCCGGGGGGCAUGCCUGUCCGAGCGUCAUUACAACCCUCAAGCUCAGCUUGGUGUUGGGCCCCGCCGCCCCGGCGGGCCCUAAAGUCAGUGGCGGUGCCGUCCGGCUCCGAGCGUAGUAAUUCUUCUCGCUCUGGAGGUCCGGUCGUGUGCUCGCCAGCAACCCCCAAUUUUUUUCAGGUUGACCUCGGAUCAGGUAGGGAUACCCGCUGAACUUAAGCAUAUCAAUAAGCGGAGGA
rnacentral:misc_RNA from 1 species